rnacentral:tRNA from 1 species
UGGGCUAUCGCCAAGCGGUAAGGCACAGGACUUUGACUCCUGGAUUCACGAGUUCGAAUCUCGUUAGCCCAG